rnacentral:rRNA from 1 species
AUUGAACGCUGGCGGCAGGCCUAACACAUGCAAGUCGAGCGGAUGAAGGGAGCUUGCUCCUGGAUUCAGCGGCGGACGGGUGAGUAAUGCCUAGGAAUCUGCCUGGUAGUGGGGGAUAACGUCCGGAAACGGGCGCUAAUACCGCAUACGUCCUGAGGGAGAAAGUGGGGGAUCUUCGGACCUCACGCUAUCAGAUGAGCCUAGGUCGGAUUAGCUAGUUGGUGGGGUAAAGGCCUACCAAGGCGACGAUCCGUAACUGGUCUGAGGGGAUGAUCAGUCACACUGGAACUGAGACACGGUCCAGACUCCUACGGGAGGCAGCAGUGGGGAAUAUUGGACAAUGGGCGAAAGCCUGAUCCAGCCAUGCCGCGUGUGUGAAGAAGGUCUUCGGAUUGUAAAGCACUUUAAGUUGGGAGGAAGGGCAGUAAGUUAAUACCUUGCUGUUUUGACGUUACCAACAGAAUAAGCACCGGCGAACUUCGU